GAACGAACGCUGGCGGCGCGCCUAAUACAUGCAAGUCGAGCGAGAAGACGUAGCAAUACGUUUGUAAAGCGGCGAACGGGUGAGGAAUACAUGGGUAACCUACCCUCGAGUGGGGAAUAACUAGCCGAAAGGUUAGCUAAUACCGCGUACGCUUCUUGGACUUCGGUUCAGGGAGGAAAGCGAUACCGUGGGUAUCGCGCUCUUGGAUGGGCUCAUGUCCUAUCAGCUUGUUGGUGAGGUAACGGCUCACCAAGGCUUCGACGGGUAGCUGGUCUGAGAGGACGAUCAGCCACACUGGCACUGCGACACGGGCCAGACUCCUACGGGAGGCAGCA
rnacentral:rRNA from 1 species